CCGUUCGGUCGGACACCAAUACACUCGAGUCAGUUUCACUUACUGUAAGUGAAACUGACUCGAGUGUAUUGGUGUCCGACCGAACGG
rnacentral:miRNA from 1 species